AGUGCCCUCCCUGCCUUUGGAGGGAGCUGUGUAUUCUUUAUCAUUAUUGGAUUGAGCCUUGAUUUGCAAGGGCGGAGCUUUUCCCCAAUUCUAUUUCCUUUGUGAAAAGGAUGAAAGCCAGACCACCAGAGCCGAGUUUGGAGAGCAGCAGAGUAUCAAGGAAAUUGCCUGCCUUGAUGAAGACACUUUGCUGGGCCUGACUCGGACGUUCAAGUACCUUUUGUCAGACGGCAGGAGAUUCAGCAUCUGAGAUAGGUGAGACGGAUCAUCUGCAACACUGGUGGCUUUGCAGGUGCGGCAGUUGUUGUAUGUACGAGUUUUCGACAGACCCCCCUGUUGAUCUUCUCAGCCGUUCUCACAAUUAGUUUGUUUUGUGGCUGUGCAAUUCCUGUACCAUGUGGUGAGACAGCUGGUCAGGACGCUCUCUAUCAUUCUUCAGUUGGAGAUGUUCAGGAUGGGAUGGGUAAAUUAGGCUCUCCAGCCUCUGAAUGAGGAGGAGACGCUGCUGGGAUUUGACACACCUGCUUGGUGUAGAAAUGCAGGAACUUUGCUGAGGAACCCGAAUGAAACCCAAAUAAAAAGAAAGUGGUACCAUAUAA